rnacentral:rRNA from 1 species
GUGGUCCCACCUGACCCCAUGCCGAACUCAGAAGUGAAACGCCGUAGCGCCGAUGGUAGUGUGGGGCUUCCCCAUGUGAGAGUAGGGAACUGCCAGGC